ensembl:miRNA Gm44313 predicted gene, 44313
UUGGCCUUGUGGUGGCUUUCGGUCUUCUUGGGCAGUAGCACGGCCUGGAUGUUGGGCAGGACGCCGCCCUGCGCGAUGGUCACGCGGCCCAGCAGUUUGUUGAGCUCCUCGUCGUUGCGGAUGGCCAACUGCAGGUGG